GACGAACGCUGGCGGCGUGCUUAACACAUGCAAGUCGAACGGAAAGGCCCUGCUUUUGUGGGGUGCUCGAGUGGCGAACGGGUGAGUAACACGUGAGUAACCUGCCCUUGACUUUGGGAUAACUUCAGGAAACUGGGGCUAAUACCGGAUAGGAGCUCCUGCUGCAUGGUGGGGGUUGGAAAGUUUCGGCGGUUGGGGAUGGACUCGCGGCUUAUCAGCUUGUUGGUGGGGUAGUGGCUUACCAAGGCUUUGACGGGUAGCCGGCCUGAGAGGGUGACCGGCCACAUUAGGACUGUGAUGCGGCCCAGACUCCUACGGGAGGGAGGAGUGGGGAAUGUUGCACAAUGGGCGGAAGCCUGAUGCAGCAACGCCGCGUGCGGGAUGACGGCCUUCGGGUUGUAAACCGCUUUCGCCUGUGACGAAGCGUGAGUGACGGUAAUGGGUAAAGAAGCACCGGCUAACUACGUG
rnacentral:rRNA from 1 species